ACCAACUCUCAAAGUUGUCCCCACUUCUCCUAAUUAAAACAUCAUUUAAUAGCAUACGUAGUGGGGCGGUAUGAGGGGCUAUAGCGCCUCAUCGCGCUGCCAAAUACCGGGACGGAGGGCGCGAUGAAGGAGAAAGAAGAGAGGGGCGCGAGCUCCAUAGCGGCGGAAGAAGGUUCUUGCAGGUAUUGAAGAAGGUUGAAGGAAGAAUAAGGUUGUUCCAGGUAUUGAAGGAAGAAGGAAGAAGGAAGAAGGAAGAAGGUUUUAUGAAUUGGUCCCUACAAAAUUGGGUUUUUAACAUAUUUGAUCCCUAGAAGGUUUUAUGAAUUGGUCCCUACAAAAUUGGGUUUUUAACAUAUUUGAUCCCUACAAAUUAUGAAAACUUAUUUUAUUUAAUGGUUUUUUAACA